UCCACUGGAAUGUUUUAAGGUGAAGAAUCUAAAUAAAAAACUAAAACAACACAGCUGCAGGAUUUAUAGGGACUGUUUUAUUGUGGCCUGUUUAUAAAUCAGUAGAAUUAAACCUGAUAGAGUUCAUAUAAUUUAACUGCAGUUAUUCAGCAAAUAAUCUGCUGCUUUCUUCGCUGGUGUCAGUCUGUUCUGGUACAAUGCCGCCAUCUAGUGGUGAUUCACUGAAUGUACAGGCGCAGUUACUGUAAAAAGAGGCGUGGCCCAAUGACUGCAGUUUCCGCUUUUCAGCGAGGAAGUUACGGUCAAUAAAACCGUUACCUGUGUAACACAAUGUCGUAAAGGUAAGAUUCAAACAUAUUUUAAUGAGUUUUAGUUUUGUUUAUGUGUUCAGAAGAAGACGUUUAAAUUCCCUCUGAAGAAGAAACUACUUGGACUUGUUCUUUUUUUUCUUCAUGUCAGACGGAGGGAGGCGAGGUUUGAUGUAGAAGUUGUUCAGCGGAAAUAAACCAGACUUGUGGUUAAAAUGAAUUAUUGUUGAUGAAUGUUUUGAAACAUUCAGGCCGUUUUCAUCACAAAUCAUAGAUGAAAAAGACUACUAGUUAUUUACCUUUUAUUUGUCAAAUAUAAGACGUUUCACGUUUUAGUUUUUCUUUUUAAUGUAUUUAACACACAAAAUCUGUAUUAGAGGAACAGAAGCUGACUUUUUUUUUUCAUAUUUCUAGACGGGCACCUUUUCAACGAUCAGUAAACAACAUAUUGUGACUCUAGGUGGCGCUGUUCCUCCUGUACACAUUGACUUCUCUCAAUCAGGAAUAUGCCAUGAGAAUAGAGCAGAGCAAACAGGAAGGAUAGAUAAGAACAUGUUUCUAAGACGUUAACAUCCAGGUUUUCCUGCUAAUGAGGUCAUAAAGGGAGUGACUCCACAUCCAGCAGCAGAACCAAGCUCAGCAUGACCCAGCUGCUCUGGACCAACUGUUGGAUCUGCCAGAACCACUGUUUGGCAUCAGUGGUUGGAGAAUGUUCUUUUUGUGAUAUAAAACCAAUAACUGGCUGCUGGAGACACCUGGUUGGUUGAUUUGUGUGUUUAAUAUCUGAGGAGAAACUCUGUAGAGAGAAGCAAACACAAUGUCAGAGACUGAGAAGAGAAAAUACAGUAAAUUUAAAGCAGACGGAUGCUUUAAUGAACACGAGUCAAGCUGUAAAUCUUUAUGUCUCCUAUGACACACCUAAAAGACAUCACCGACCCCCUCCUUGACCCCCUGCAGUUUGCCUACAGAGCCAACAGGUCUGUAGAUGAUGCAGUCAACCUAGCCCUUCACUUCAUCCUCCGGCACCUGGACUCCACAGG